rnacentral:sRNA from 1 species
GCCAGGCAUGGUGGCUCAUGCCUGUAAUCCCAGCCACUAGGGAAGCUGAGGCAAGAGGUUGGCAAGUUCAAAGCCAGCCUCAG